rnacentral:rRNA from 1 species
AUUGAACGCUGGCGGCAUGCCUUACACAUGCAAGUCGAACGGCAGCACGGGAGCAAUCCUGGUGGCGAGUGGCGAACGGGUGAGUAAUAUAUCGGAACGUGCCCAGUCGUGGGGAUAACGUAGCGAAAGCUACGCUAAUACCGCAUACGAUCUAUGGAUGAAAGCGGGGGAUCGCAAGACCUCGCGCGAUUGGAGCGGCCGAUAUCAGAUUAGGUAGUUGGUGAGGUAAAGGCUCGCCAAGCCGACGAUCUGUAGCUGGUCUGAGAGGACGACCAGCCACACUGGGACUGAGACAGGCCCAGACUCCUACGGGAGGCAGCAGUGGGGAAUUUUUGGACAAUGGGCGCAAGCCUGAUCCAGCAAUGCCGCGUGCAGGAUGAAGGCCU